AUUGAACGCUGGCGGCAUGCCUUACACAUGCAAGUCGAACGGCAGCGGGGGAGAAGCUUGCCUUUCCUGCCGGCGAGUGGCGAACGGGUGAGUAAUACAUCGGAACGUGCCCUGUAGUGGGGGAUAACUAGUCGAAAGAUUAGCUAAUACCGCAUACGACCUGAGGGUGAAAGUGGGGGACCGCAAGGCCUCAUGAUAUAGGAGCGGCCGAUGUCUGAUUAGCUAGUUGGUGGGGUAAAGGCCUACCAAGGCGACGAUCAGUAGCUGGUCUGAGAGGACGAUCAGCCACACUGGGACUGAGACACGGCCCAGACUCCUACGGGAGGCAGCAGUGGGGAAUUUUGGACAAUGGGCGAAAGCCUGAUCCAGCAAUGCCGCGUGUGUGAAGAAGGCCUUCGGGUUGUAAAGCACUUUUGUCCGGAAAGAAAUGGCUCUGGUUAAUACCUGGGGUCGAUGACGGUACCGGAAGAAUAAGGACCGGCUAACUACGUGCCAGCCGCCGCAGUAA
rnacentral:rRNA from 1 species